AUUCAAAUAGCUUAUAUUAGAGCAUAAUAUUGAAGAUAUUAGGGAGAUUAAUUUAAUCUUUGAAUA
rnacentral:tRNA from 1 species